rnacentral:lncRNA from 1 species
AAGAACACUGCAUAAAUAAUUUUUAUAGCGUAAAAACAAAAUAAAUUCUUACAUACCGUAAUACAGAUAACCAAAGUAUAGAAUUUAAUUUACAGUGACACGUGGGCCCACGAAUGACUAAAAGUGUCAAAAGAAAUGAACCUACAGUCUUUGGAUGUGGUAAGUUCAACUGUAAUCCUCGUCGAUAUCAGUUAUCUACAAUAUAUUCUGAGCCUAAAAUGGGUGAAAAUGAGGGUGGUGAGAUUAUAAAAUCCUAGUGAGUAAACAAACAUCACUCAAAAUAUCUAAAGUCGAGUAAAAGGAGACUAUUAAAACAUUUCAUCAAACUGUGAUUUAUCAUCUUUCAACUUACUUCAACCAAAUGAAAUCAAUUUAUUUAAAGCAAGUAAUCAGUAUGGCUUAUGAAUUUCUUAAAAAGCUUGGCUCAUACCAAAAAUUAUUAUCAUACUCAGUUAUCUGGGAUACCUUGGCUGAGGGCUAUCCCAACUGAGUCCGCCAAGGCUAUUAGAAAGUCAUGUUUUUAUUUUGAAAACAUAGCUGUUCCUUGGCGUUGGCCGAGUUCCCCUUCACGUGGUGGUUUAGCGUGAAGUGAACUCUAAAAGUUAUACCUCAGGAGUUACCCUACUCGUCUCUCCAACCGAGGUAAAAAUAUAACAGGAUUCCGUGCCCCUCUAAUAGGCUAGUCCAUAGAAUUCAGCCCACUGCAGCAGGUCAAACCCACCAUACAAUAAAAUUUUGACAGCAUGACAGGGCUAAUAUAUUACUACCCAGCCUGCAAGGGUAAAAUAAAAUAAUUCAUACAAUUCAUAAAAAACACAACCCAGCCAGUCAUGCCAAUACAAUAGCAUAAGCCAUUAAUUCAAUUUUAAAUUUACAACAUAUUAGUGGUCUCCAAUUACUCUAUUUUCAAAAUCGUUAUUUCGUUUCAAGACAAUUUAUAAAAUAUUUUCAUUUAAACUCAUUUGGUUUACAAAACAUAAAAAUUUACCAUUUGAACUCAUUUUCAUAAAAUUCACCAAAACCGAAUAAAAACAUACUUUAGAUAAUUAAAAUGAUGGUAAGGUUACUCACCGUGUCUAGAGUGGGGAUUUUCG